rnacentral:lncRNA from 1 species
UCAUGCUUAGUGGUAGGUCUCAUAUAAUUACAUUCAUGUUUAAGUAUCCAGCAUUCUAUUCAAUAACUAUAUCUGUUUUGAUAAUCAAACUUAUGCAAUUACUUGCACAUCUUUAGUACAGGAAGCACCAGACAUUUCUGCGUUUAUUCGAGCAAGGGCUGCCGCGUAUCCCAUAUUUGAAAGAAUUCAUCAUGGUGCUUCUCUUCCCUAAGGCUCAACGUCCAGCCCCCUAUUAUAAGGUUAAAAUUUUUUGGAACGAUCAUGCAAAGGAGGUAACAUCAAUUCAAUAUCCAUUCCAAGGCGUAAAAUAUAAUAUCUUAGGAUCAUAUUGAAUCAUACUGAAACCACAAGAAUCCCCACUGUCAUUUCUUCUUUUUAAUUAUUUUGUCCAGUCAAAUUAUUGUGGUAUGCAUCAACCCAGUACACUUAAAAAUAGCAUCAUUUCUUGGAAACAUAAUAUCUUUCCUGCUUUCAUGCUACAAUGGUUGACUGGUUGCAGUAUGAUCCAAAAUGGUCAAUAAAUGAGAUAUUUAGUUAUUCAGACCUCUGUUAUAUUAAUGCUAAAUUGGAAUUACUGCCGCUUCUGUGAUGGUUUUUUUUUGUCAUAUAUAAUGGAGAUUUUAACAAUUAAAUUUAGAUGCAGGCUUCAGAUGCAUCAAAUUCACAUGGGAUGGUUCGGACAAAUAAGUAAAAAGACAAGAUUUUCGUAAAGUUUAUAUGCGCUUCAGAAUGUUCAACUUUGUGUUAGUUUAAUGGUUAGAAUGUUUAUUACUCAAUGUGAUUUGGGUUGCAUUAAUCUUAUAAAUGUGAAUAUUAUGAUAUCCGGAUAUUAUGGUAUUUUUUUAUAAUUUAAUAUUUUUUUCGUUUUGGAAAAAAACAAUUAAUAAUGAACAUAUAACUUCUGCUAGUAAUUAUAAAUGCCUCCAAAAUGUAAAUUAACAUUUAAAUUUAAAUCUAUUACAACUUUUGUUGACACUUUAAAAUGACUUGAUAGUGGAAGAUAAAAGUGUCCGGAACCAUUUGUG